rnacentral:rRNA from 1 species
CCCUUAGAUGUCCUGGGCCGCACGCGCGCUACACUGAUGCAUGCAACGAGUUUAUAACCUUGGCCUGAAAGGUCUGGGUAAUCUUUUGAACGUGCAUCGUGAUAGGGAUAGAUUAUUGCAAUUGUUAAUCUUGAACGAGGAAUUCCUAGUAAACGCGAGUCAUCAGCGCGCAUUGAUUACGUCCCUGCCCUUUGUACACACCGCCCGUCGCACCUACCGAUUGAAUGGUUCGGUGAAGAUCUCGGACUUCGAUAUUUAUUCUUUAUUGAGUUUAUAUUGUGGGAAGUUAUCUAAACCUCAUCAUUUAGAGGAAGGAGAAGUCGUAACA